UAAAGACAAGCUAAUUAGCAUUUCAUUUACACUGAAAAAGAGCUUGAUACUUUCAAGGCCUUUAA
rnacentral:tRNA from 1 species